rnacentral:lncRNA from 1 species
CCGGUGUGCCGCUGCACCACAUUGCUCUUCCUUUCUUUCCGUGGAUCACGCCAGCCACCUAGUCAGUUCUGAUGAGAGAACCUGGAUACCUUGGUUGCCAGUGCAGGAUCCACACACUAAUUAUGGUUCUUUUUGAUGGGAGCCCCGGAUUGCUGCUGCUUCUAUUCGGCCAUCUUGUCCCCACCCCGGGAUGACAUCUAGGUGCAAGAUCCCAGCCCCACGCCUCAUUCUCCACAAGCUCCUCUGACGUUGAAGGAAAUAGAAACAAAUCCCUAUCUCUGGGAGCAGAGCAGGAAUGAAUGCCAGACCCAGAACUACAGCUGCAAGAGAAGCAGGGACAGCGAAAGGCCGCACUCUCAAGACCCAGGGAAAGAAUGGCUGCCUAAGAAUGAAGCUUAAUAACAGUAAUAGAGAAUGUGCUCUUUCCUCUUCUGCAACAACC